GAUGAACGCUGGCGGCGUGCCUAAUACAUGCAAGUCGAGCGAACGGACGAGAAGCUUGCUUUUCUGAUGUUAGCGGCGGACGGGUGAGUAACACGUGGAUAACCUACCUAUAAGACUGGGAUAACUUCGGGAAACCGGAGCUAAUACCGGAUAAUAUUUUGAACCGCAUGGUUCAAAAGUGAAAGACGGUCUUGCUGUCACUUAUAGAUGGAUCCGCGCUGCAUUAGCUAGUUGGUAAGGUAACGGCUUACCAAGGCAACGAUGCAUAGCCGACCUGAGAGGGUGAUCCGCCACCCUGGAACUGAGACACGGUCCCGACUCCUACGGGAGGCAGCAGUAGGGAAUCUUCCGCAAUGGGCGAAAGCCUGACGGAGCAACGCCGCGUGAGUGAUGAAGGUCUUCGGAUCGUAAAACUCUGUUAUUAGGGAAGAACAUAUGUGUAAGUAACUGUGCACAUCUUGACGGUACCUAAUCAGAAAGCCACGGCUAACUACGUG
rnacentral:rRNA from 1 species